rnacentral:SRP_RNA from 1 species
GCCGGGUGUGGUGGUGCACACCUGUAAUCCCAGCUAUUUGGGAGGCUGAGGCAGGAGAAUCGCUUGAACCCGGGAGGCAGAGGUUGCAGUGAGCCGAGAUCGUGCCACUGCACUCUAGCCUGGGUGACAGAGUGAGACUCCAUCUCAA